CAAGGAAAGGAAAAAAACAAAAAAAAAAAAAAAAAAAAGGGUUCGAGGCAUUGAAAUGGUGGUUUCAAAAGAAAAUGGCCAACUUUCCACAUUUAAAAGAGAAGUGCACAGUUGAGGCCAUCAUCUUCCUCAAACCCUCAAAGCAAAAGGUGAAAAAACAAUCGAAAUACUAGAGGUUCUACCUCAGCUGGCCGCCCACGUUCCAAAAAGAGAGCGGAUUGGUAUGCAAUUUUCAUUUCCAUGCACAAGAUGCUACCAAAUCUCUGUUCAUCCAACCAAGAUACAGAGCCCCAUCUCUCUCUUCAAGUCUAUAUUUAUCACAAUAGUUCUCUAGCAGAGUUUUGAUGGUGGCAUUUACCAAGGAGCUUAAAGGGUAAGGAGUAAACCCUGCCAUUCUGAACCGUGACCUCCACUUCCCAAGAAGCUCAUGUCGCUCCACCCUUUCAGUUCCCUCACAUGCUAUUAUGUUAACAACAUCCCUUGCCAGGCAGUGUUGCUCGACAUUGAUCCGCUCCUUGUGAUCUCUCGGAAGAGUUACAUCAAUCGAUUCAAACAUAGCCAUGUAAUAGUUUAGUGUCUCGAGGAACCGAGGGAAGAAUGCAGCGGUAUUUGUGUUAGAUUCCUGCUCAACAAGGGUCACAACCUUUGGAGACAGGCUUUUAACCAGCCUUCAGAAGCCGGUCCCGAUGAUUCUGAGUGCUGACACUUUCAUCAGGCAUGUGGUGAAGCACAAAUGCAAAAUUCACAGCCAGGGCCUCCCCAGGACGAACAUCAAGGUUCUCUACCUGAACCUCGCAACCAGACAUGGCAGCAGCAUGAAAUUCAAAUGGCACUUUAACUAUCUCAGCAAGCCUAGAUAGCCUCUUUCCCACAAUACUCAGACCUCCUCCACGGGCAUAUGCUGAUGUGGAAUCAUCAAUACCUGUAAUACGGAUGUGGGGUGGCCCACCAGGUCUAGCAGCAAAGGCCUGGAUUAAAGUGAUCCACUGACUCCCCUGACCAAUUUGGAAAUCAAUUAUGUGAACUCUGUUCUCAUCCUUCAUGGCUUCUGCGAUGGCACCAUUUGCAGACAUGUAUCCGAACUUGAAAUAGGGACACACCUCAUAAAGAAUGUGCAUAUAAGAAAGAAGCUCAGCGCUGGCUGGUUCUUUGCAUCUCAAAGCUUUGUAGAUGGAACUUCCUGAGGAGGCUAGCCGAGCAACAAGCCCCUCCAACAUGUAUGCACCCAAUCUUUGAAUUGGUUCACCAGAAACAGACACCAUUUGUCUCAGUUCAUCCAUUAACCAUUGAGCCUUUAACAGAUCAUUAUCUGAUACUGCUUGUGCACAGACAACAAGGACAUGCUUUAGGUCCCUUCUAGAAAUUGCAUCCAUUAUUUGUCUCAAGCUAUCCAUUUCUGGUGACUCCAAGCUUGUCCCAUUCCGCAAGGUGCUUUCAAUGCUGUCAAUAAUAUCAGAAUCAGGACCAAACAUUGCAUUUUCUAAUUCUCUCAAUUUAUUCUGGAAGUCAUGGACAUCAUCAGUUACGCAGGAACCACUUAUUGGAGAGCCAC
rnacentral:misc_RNA from 1 species